AUUGAACGCUGGCGGCAUGCUUUACACAUGCAAGUCGAACGGUAACAGGCCGCAAGGUGCUGACGAGUGGCGAACGGGUGAGUAAUGCAUCGGAACGUGCCCAGUCGUGGGGGAUAACUACUCGAAAGAGUAGCUAAUACCGCAUACGAUCUAUGGAUGACAGCGGGGGACCGUAAGGCCUCGCGCGAUUGGAGCGGCCGAUGUCAGAUUAGGUAGUUGGUGGGGUAAAGGCUCACCAAGCCAACGAUCUGUAGCUGGUCUGAGAGAACAACCAGCCACACUGGGACUGAGACACGGCCCAGACUCCUACGGGAGGCAGCAGUGGGGAAUUUUGGACAAUGGGCGCAAGCCUGAUCCAGCAAUGCCGCGUGCAGGAAGAAGGCCUUCGGGUUGUAAACUGCUUUUGUACGGAACGAAACGGCUCUGGUUAAUACCCGGGGCUAAUGACGGUACCGUAAGAAUAAGCACCGGCUAACUACGUG
rnacentral:rRNA from 1 species